GUCGGCGAUCUUCUUCGAGUCGCUUCCCUCCUCCAUGAUUAACGCCUAACAAACAAGAACAGGAGCAUAAUGACAUGAUCGAUCCACAUAGACGGAGAGCAAAGAAAUAAAAGAUGGACAUAUUUGAUCAGCAAAUGAUACAUAAAAGGAGUAGCAAGCUGCAUGCAAGUUUUUUGUUUAGGUGAUAUGAUCAUGCUUGAGAAAAUUGGCCUUCAUGGGUUGAAUGUGAAGAUCAUCUCUGCAGGCGCCUGCAGGUGGUGAGCUCUUGUGAUAAGAUAGCAUUCUGAGAAGUGCCAUGGAAACACAUGCCACUACUGAACAAUCAAAUAGAGCUAUUUAAAGACUCGGGAAACACUGAAAAGGGGAUUUCUAUCCUUCUAUUGGAGCUUCUAGUGGUAUAUUAUUAGCUCGGUCUAUUAAUUUAGCAAAUGUUCAGGUGCUAUCUAAACACCCUUAUUUUAUUCAUGAAAUAACUCAAUUAAAUAAUGAUAAACCUUGGUUUCUGUUAGGUAUUAAUGCUAGUACUUCUGUUGUUUAUAAAAAUAAUGAAAUUCUCUUUCUGAUUUAAACUUCUUCGACAUUUCUUGGUGUAUUUUAGAAGAUUUCAAUUAUAUUUUAAAUUCACAUGAUAAAAUUGGUGAUAAAAUAUUUGUUAUUAACUGCUCUACUUGUGUUUUCCAUGAAUUUAUAAAAAAAUAUGAUUUAACUUAUUUAAGUUUUUCUAGUUCUAAUUAUACAUACUGUAUUAAUCAUACUGGCUAUGCUAGAAUCUCUGUUAGAUUAGAUUGUGUCUUUGGUAAUUUUAUCGUAGAUGAAUAUUUAUGGCAAAUUUUCUGUUUAUCAUUUUUUUAGACUUCAUUCUGAUCAUGAUCAUGUUAAAUAUUAAGUCUACUUAGUUAAUUUGUAAUAAUUUUUUUUAUUAUUGAUGGGCGUAUUCGUACAGUUUUGUCCUUUCGGAACAUGUGAGCUCCAAAAGGUGCCUCUGAAGGUAAGGGAGACCUGGCGGACUUAUGAGCCCUUGAUUCUCAUACUCCUCAACCAAUGUGGGACUAAAUGACUUUAUCAGUGCUCUCUCCCAUAGGGGAACUAAGGGCUUAUAACCAAGGUGCACGACUCGGGAGCGAGUUUGCUUGGCCGAGGUGUAGGCCUCGGGCCCUCCUUCUAGCGCUAAUCAGAUAGUGGUCCCUUACAUCGUGGCUGAGGAGUUAACACGGCUUGGUUCGGUCCCGAGCGUGCAAGAUCAUCCAUGUCGAUACUCGGGCGACGAGAGUCGUCGUCUGAUGGGGUCGAGCUUGGGCUUUGGCUUCGAGAUUUGGAGACACCCUUUGGCUGGCUGCCCUCCUCUCUAUCGCUUGUCCCUACACAUAGGUCGGGGUCGGGAAGGGGACUCCCGACUCCGACCCCUCCGAAGAUUUUAUUAGAACUGGGUGGAAAAUAGCCCAAGAACCAAUCUCAUCGCCGGCCCCACAAUAGGUUUUUUAUCCUCCACCCCGGGGACCGGCCGUAUCUAUCGUAUUUAUGGCUGUCGACCCAUCGGGCGGCGGACCGGUGCCAUCCCGACUUUUGUGGGUCGACGCUGUACUUGGUCGGCGUCGUCCCGACUUUUGUGGGUCGACGUUGUACUUGGUCGGCGUCGUCCCGACUUUUAU